UACGGAGGGGGCUAGCGUUGUCCGAAGUUACUGGGCGUAAAGCGCGCGUAGGCGGGUUGGUAAGUCCGCUGUGAAAGCCCGGAGCUCAACUCCGGAGGGUCGGUGAAUACUGCCAGUCUUGAAGGUGCUAGGGGGAGAUGGAAUUACCGGUGUAGCGGUGAAAUGCGUAGAUAUCGGUAGGAACACCAGUGGCGAAGGCGACACGCUGGGCCAUACCUGACGCUAAAGCGCGACAGCAUGGGGAGCAAACGGG
rnacentral:rRNA from 1 species